ensembl:snoRNA
AGAAUGUGAGGAUGCCUGAGAAGGGUUUCGCUUUAUAGGCUGAUAUCUGGUGAUGCCACGAUUCUCUUGGCUAUCUGAUUUA